GUAGUAGGAAGGAAACUGGACCGACCCUUCGGGAGCUUGUACAGGUGCUGCAUGGCUGUCGUCAGCUCGUGUCCGUGAGAUGUUCGGUUAAGUCCGCUAACGAGCGCAACCCUCGCUGUGUGUUACAAGUGUCACACGGAACUGCCGGUCAUAAACCGGAGGAAGGUGGGAUGACGUCAAGUCAGCAUGGCCUUUAUAUCCUGGGCUACACACACGCUACAAUGGGAAGGGACAAUAGGUUGCGAAGCCGCGAGGCGGAGCCAAUCCAGACAAACUUCCCUCAGUUCAGAUUGCAGGCUGCAACCCGCCUGCAUGAAGUUGGAGUUGCUAGUAAACGCAGGUCAGCCAUACUGCGUUGAAUACGUUCCCGGGGCUU
rnacentral:rRNA from 1 species